GUCUACGGCCAUACCACCCUGAACACGCCCGAUCUCGUCUGAUCUCGGAAGCUAAGCAGGGUCGGGCCUGGUUAGUGCUUGGAUGGGAGAACUUCAUAGGUGAUGUAAUCU
rnacentral:rRNA from 1 species